ACGAUAACGGCGUCGAGCGGCGGACGGGUGAGUAAUGCCUAGGAAAUUGCCCUGAUGUGGGGGAUAACCAUUGGAAACGAUGGCUAAUACCGCAUGAUGCCUACGGGCCAAAGAGGGGGACCUUCGGGCCUCUCGCGUCAGGAUAUGCCUAGGUGGGAUUAGCUAGUUGGUGAGGUAAGGGCUCACCAAGGCGACGAUCCCUAGCUGGUCUGAGAGGAUGAUCAGCCACACUGGAACUGAGACACGGUCCAGACUCCUACGGGAGGCAGCAGUGGGGAAUAUUGCACAAUGGGCGCAAGCCUGAUGCAGCCAUGCCGCGUGUAUGAAGAAGGCCUUCGGGUUGUAAAGUACUUUCAGUCGUGAGGAAGGUAGUGUAGUUAAUAGCUGCAUUAUUUGACGUUAGCGACAGAAGAAGCACCGGCUAACUCCGUGCCAGCAGCCGCGGUAAUACGGAGGGUGCGAGCGUUAAUCGGAAUUACUGGGCGUAAAGCGCAUGCAGGUGGUUUGUUAAGUCAGAUGUGAAAGCCCGGGGCUCAACCUCGGAAUUGCAUUUGAAACUGGCAGACUAGAGUACUGUAGAGGGGGGUAGAAUUUCAGGUGUAGCGGUGAAAUGCGUAGAGAUCUGAAGGAAUACCGGUGGCGAAGGCGGCCCCCUGGACAGAUACUGACACUCAGAUGCGAAAGCGUGGGGAGCAAACAGGAUUAGAUACCCUGGUAGUCCACGCCGUAAACGAUGUCUACUUGGAGGUUGUGGCCUUGAGCCGUGGCUUUCGGAGCUAACGCGUUAAGUAGACCGCCUGGGGAGUACGGUCGCAAGAUUAAAACUCAAAUGAAUUGACGGGGGCCCGCACAAGCGGUGGAGCAUGUGGUUUAAUUCGAUGCAACGCGAAGAACCUUACCUACUCUUGACAUCCAGAGAACUUUCCAGAGAUGGAUUGGUGCCUUCGGGAACUCUGAGACAGGUGCUGCAUGGCUGUCGUCAGCUCGUGUUGUGAAAUGUUGGGUUAAGUCCCGCAACGAGCGCAACCCUUAUCCUUGUUUGCCAGCGAGUAAUGUCGGGAACUCCAGGGAGACUGCCGGUGAUAAACCGGAGGAAGGUGGGGACGACGUCAAGUCAUCAUGGCCCUUACGAGUAGGGCUACACACGUGCUACAAUGGCGCAUACAGAGGGCAGCCAACUUGCGAAAGUGAGCGAAUCCCAAAAAGUGCGUCGUAGUCCGGAUUGGAGUCUGCAACUCGACUCCAUGAAGUCGGAAUCGCUAGUAAUCGUGGAUCAGAAUGCCACGGUGAAUACGUUCCCGGGCCUUGUACACACCGCCCGUCACACCAUGGGAGUGGGCUGCAAAAGAAGUAGGUAGUUUAACCUUCGGGGGGACGCUUACCACUUUGUGGUUCAUGACUGGGGUGAAG
rnacentral:rRNA from 1 species